rnacentral:rRNA from 1 species
AUGGUCAUGGAGUCCGAGCCACAGCCUGGUAAUGGUCAUGAACCUCACAAUACCACAAGUCAGCAACAAAAACACCAGUGUGAUGACCAAACACCGAGUAGUGCUGAUGAAGCAGAGCUUCUAUGGAACCUGAGGAAGUACUUGAUCCUGCUGGCAACUUUAUCAACCACUAUCACCUACCAGGCGGGGCUGGCACAACCGGGUGGUCUCUGGGCAGAUAACCAGCAAGGCUACCUUGCCAGUGACGUUGUCAUGUUUCUUAGCCGCACCAAGCGGUACAGGAUGUUCUUCUACUGCAACACAACAGCAUUCAUUAUAUCACUCAUUGUUCUGAUCCUGGUCCUGGUCAGGGAGCUGAGAUGGAAUGCAAUUUGGCUCCGUUCGCUGCAGUUUGCGCUGCUGCUUGACCUGCUCGGGCUUGUGGGGGCCUAUGCUGCCGGGAACCGCAGGGAGGUCAGAACAUCCAUUUAUAUCUGGGUAAUUCUUGUUGGCAUCGUCACAUAUGUCGGGCUUCAUGUAGUAUUCUUCCGCCAUCUAGCUCCUGAAUGGCUUGGAGAAAUAUUCAGGGACAUCCAGAGGUUCUGGGAGGAUUCUAUAGCACACAUUUUCAACAGAAGGCACAACAUAAAACAUGAGCUAGAUGCUCCUAUCCAAGAUGAAAAGGAGUCACUGGAGAAGAAUCACGGUUUCUUUCUGGUUGCAGCUACAUUGGCAGCAACAAAGACAUAUACUGCAGGGUUAAGUCCACCAGGUGGCAGAUCUUACUGGUAUGAUAACAAUGGUAGCCACAUUGCUGGCGACCUGGUGCUUCGAGACAAAUACCCCCUCGGCUUCAACGCGUUUAUGUUCUUCAAUAAAACUGCCUUUUCUGGUUCCUUUGUCAUCAACAUCAUGCUUCUCAGUAAAACGGGAGUGAAUUACAUUGCCAUGUCAAAUGUACUUCGGUUGUGGAUUCUGAUCAGCCUUAUGGCUACUUAUGCCGUAGGGAGUCGCAGGAAAAUCCAUACAUCUAUCUUUGUGUUCUCACUUUUCGGUGCAGUCCUGCUCUACCUCAUCAUUCAAUGGGUUGCUCGUAUAAUGCCUAAGCCAGAAUUUAUCAGGAAGUGCAUCAAGUGGAUGGAAGGAGAGCAGAAAAAGCUAGUCUUGAAGCUAAACUCCUUUAUGGAUAGUUGUAGCAGAUCCAAUGGGCGGGUGCCACGAUUACAGUAUGAUGGACAACAUUCAUGCAGAAAUGGCGCAUCAAGCACUGUUAAUAAUGUGAAAGAUGACUUGGGGAAGUUGCAGACAUACCUUUUAUGGUUUGCCAUCCUUGCUGCGACUAUUACAUACCAAGCUGGGUUGCAUCCCCCCGGUGGGUUUUGGCCACGCAGUCGAGAUCCAAUUCUCGAGGCCAUCAAUCCCAUUCGGUACAAAGCAUUCUACUACUGCAACGCCACUGCAUUUGUGUCAUCAUUGGUUAUCAUCAUGCUACUCCAGAGCCAGCUGAUCACCAUAGGCGCCAUGAAACGACAUGUGCUGCAGAUAGCCAUGGGUUUUGAUCUCUUCAGUAUAAUGGGGGCAUAUGCUGCUGGGAGCAGCCGGACUUUAUCCACACAAAUGUAUGUGAUAAUCUUAGUCAUCCUUGUUCAUAUUGUGCUAUUUGUGGACGCAAGAGUUCCUGAUGGAUCAGCUCAGCAGCAAGAUGAUAACGCUGAAGCAAAACGUUUGCAGAAGCGGCACAAGUUUCUAAUGCUGCUCGCAGUUCUGGCAACAUCCAGCACAUAUCAAGCCGGCAUAAGCCCACCAGGUGGCUUCUGGACUGACAACAGGGAUGGCCACCAGGCAGGUCACCCAUUGUUCAGCGAUGCGUUUCCACGCCGUUACAAGGCUUUCAUCUACUUCAAUUCCACUGCUUUCAUGGCAUCAUUGGUUUUAAUUGUGUUGCUUGUUAGCAGAAGGCUGUGUCACAGGGGACUGCGGGGAUACACACUGCAUGCAUGCGUGCUACUAGAUCUGAUCAGUCUCAUGGGUGCUUUUGUCGCUGGAAGCUGCAGAACAGUGUCGGCAUCGGUUUAUGUCAUCCUGAUCUCGGCUGUUGUUUUUGCCUGUAUCAUGAUUCAGGUUCUACUACUGAAAUUUACAAAAGAUAUGGUAAUUGACUUCUUUGACUGGAUGUUUCACAUCACUGCUUUCAAGCGUCUGAAUUUACCCAAGAAUUGUGGUGGAAGCAUCAAAGGGAACAAGAAAACUAGCCAAAAAUGGCGUGAAGAUUUGAUGCUGAUUGGAGCUUCCGCAGUGUCUUUUGCUUACCAAGCUGGGCUCCUUCCUCCAGGUUUCCUUUGGGUUGCUGACUGCGAUGGAUAUUUCACACGUGAUCUAACCAUCUAUGAUACCCAUCCGGUGCAGUAUAAGGUAUUCUUCUACUGCAAUGCCACAGUGUUCAUGGCAUCGACGGUCGUAGUCAUCCUUCUGCUGAACACCACAAUGAGGAAGUACAAGGGAUAUGCCCUUGCCAUGAAAACAGCAAUGAUGAUGGGCUUGCUUGGUCUGCUCGGGGCGUAUGCUGCAGGCAGCUGCAGGACCUGA